CUGCUGAUGAAGAGUCCCAGACUGGGACGAAACAGCUGUCUGGCAG
rfam:Trichobilharzia regenti genome assembly, scaffold: TRE_scaffold0028337